rnacentral:rRNA from 1 species
UUGAUCCUGCCAGUAGUCAUAUGCUUGUCUCAAAGAUUAAGCCAUGCAUGUCUCAGUACAAGCCACAUUAAGGUGAAACCGCGAAAGGCUCAUUAAAUCAGUUAUGGUUCCUUAGAUCGUACCCACAUUUACUUGGAUAACUGUGGUAAUUCUAGAGCUAAUACAUGCAAACAGAGUUCCGACCGGAGACGGGAGGAAUGCUUUUAUUAGAUCAAAACCAAUCGGCGGCGGGUGCGUUCGCGCGCCCGUUCGCCGCUCAACCUGGUGACUCUGAAUAACUUUCGGCUGAUCGCACGGUCCAGCACCGGCGACGCAUCUUUCAAAUGUCUGCCUUAUCAACUGUCGAUGGUAGGUUCUGCGCCUACCAUGGUCGUAACGGGUAACGGGGAAUCAGGGUUCGAUUCCGGAGAGGGAGCCUGAGAAACGGCUACCACAUCCAAGGAAGGCAGCAGGCGCGCAAAUUACCCACUCCCGGCACGGGGAGGUAGUGACGAAAAAUAA